rnacentral:tRNA from 1 species
CUCUGAGUGCAUAUCCACACCGGGCGAGCUUGAAAAAUAUGCCCGGCCACGGUGGGAUUCGAACCUACGACCUUUGGAAUAUUAGCCCAAUGCUCUUCCAACUGAGCUACGCGGUCAGGACGGUUCGAGUAAGUGAUAUUUCGGAACAGUAUCCAGUUCCUUCAAUACCAAUGUGUUCUAGUAAUAUGAAUUUUUUUUCUU